rnacentral:lncRNA from 1 species
UUGAUUUGCAACGUCUUCCAUAGCGGAUUUCAUCACGUCAAUGUUUUUACGAGGCGCAACGCCCUUGUCAUAAAAGUCAAGACGCUCCUCAACUUGUUCACGAAGUUUAUCUCCAAAAGAAGUUGUACUUUUCUCUGUGGUCAUUAUGAAACAAUCAAUUCUGGAUGCAAUAGAGCACUUGUUUGCUAGAUAACGAGCCAUCCGACCUUUAUUUUUAGCAGAUGCACGCCCAAUAAACGAUGAAUGGAAAAUAAGACCAUAUUUUGGCGUGUUUCCUUUGGUU